rnacentral:rRNA from 1 species
UUCCCCUAGUAACUGCGAGUGAAGCGGGAAAAGCUCAAAUUUAAAAUCUGGCAGUCUUUGAUUGUCCGAGUUGUAAUCUAGAGAAGUGUUAUCCGCGUUGGACUGUGUACAAGUCUCCUGGAAUGGAGCGUCAUAGAGGGUGAGAAUCCCGUCUUUGGCACAGACUACCAAGGCUUUUGUGAUAUGCUCUCAAAGAGUCGAGUUGUUUGGGAAUGCAGCUCAAAAUGGGUGGUAAAUUCCAUCUAAAGCUAAAUAUUGGCGAGAGACCGAUAGCGAACAAGUACCGUGAGGGAAAGAUGAAAAGAACUUUGGAAAGAGAGUUAAACAGUACGUGAAAUUGCUGAAAGGGAAACGCUUGAAGUCAGUCGCGUUGUUCAGAACUCAACCUUACUUUUGUGGGGUGUACUUUCUGUUUAACGGGUCAGUAUCAAUUUUGACUGUUGGAUAAAGUCCUUGGGAAUGUGGCUUCUUCGGAAGUGUUAUAGCCUUUGGUCGCAUACAGCGGUCAGGAUUGAGGUACUCAGCACGCUGCAAAGCCGGGUUUCGACCACGUUCGUGCUUAGGAUACUGGCAUAAUGGCUUUAAUCGACCCGUCUUGAAACACGGACCAAGGAGUCUAACAUGCCUGCAAGUGUUUGGGUGGAAAACCCGAGCGCAUAAUGAAAGUGAAAGUUGAGAUCCCUGUCGUGGGGAGCAUCGACGCCCAGACCAGACCUUCUGUGACGGAUCUGCGGUAGAGCAUGUAUGUUGGGACCCGAAAGAUGGUGAACUAUGCCUGAAUAGGGUGAAGCCAGAGGAAACUCUGGUGGAGGCUCGUAGCGA